rnacentral:rRNA from 1 species
GGUCAAGUUAAUAAGGGCAUAUGGUGAAUGCCUUGGCAUCAGACGGCGAUGAAGGACGCGGCAGGCGGCGAAAUGCUACGGGGAGUUGCGAGUAAGCUUAGAUCCGUAGAUAUCCGAAUGGGGAAACCCUUCAGGGGUCAUGCCCUGAAAUUAUACACUGAAUACAUAGGUGUAUAAGGCGAACCCGGGGAAGUGAAACAUCUCAGUACCUGGAGGAAAAGACAUCAAAAGAGAUUCCCUUAGUAGCGGCGAGCGAAGGGGGAAGAGCCUAAACCCGGAAAGACAACAAGUCAACGACGGCUAUUUUUGUUAUAAGGAUAGUGAGUGUUCGUUGGUUUAUUGUCUUUCCGGGGGUUGUAGGACCGCAUAAGUACGAUAAUUGAUAUAUAGCUGAACCAUUGUGGAACAAUAGACCAUAGAAGGUGAUAGUCCUGUAAGCGAAAUGUAUUGAUUAGGGAAGCGGUAUCCUGAGUACCACGAGACACGUGGAAUCUCGUGGGAAUCUGGGGGGACCACCCUCCAAGGCUAAAUACGAGCUGAUGACCGAUAGCGCAUAGUACCGUGAGGGAAAGGUGAAAAGAACCCCGGUGAGGGGAGUGAAAUAGAACCUGAAACCAUAUGCUUACAAUCAAUCAGAGCGUGUACUCAGCAAUGAGUAUGUGUGAUGGUGUGCCUUUUGAUUAAUGAGCCGGCGAGUUACUUACUGUAGCAAGGUUAAUCUCUUAAGGAGAGGAGCCGUAGGGAAACCGAGUCUUAAUAGGGCGAAUAAGUUGCAGUAAGUAGACCCGAAGCCAGUUGAUCUACCCAUGGUCAGGGUGAAGCGAGGGUAAGACUUCGUGGAGGCCCGAACUGAUGUUUGUUGCAAAAAGCUCGGAUGAACUGUGGGUAGGGGUGAAAGGCCAAUCAAAGCUGGUGAUAGCUGGUUCUCCCCGAAAUGUAUUUAGGUACAGCCUGUGGUUAGUUUUCAAGGGGUAGGGCACUGGAUGGGCUAGGGCUUCGCAAGAGGUACCAAACCCAACCAAACCUCGAAUACUUGCAAAACGAUGCCAUGGAGUGAGACUGCGGGUGCUAAGAUUCGUAGUCGAGAGGGAAACAGCCCAGACCGUCAGCUAAGGUCCCUAAAUAGUGCUAAGUGUGGAAGGAUGUAGUUCUGUGUAGACAACCAGGAUGUUGGCUUAGAAGCAGCCACCAUUCAAAGAAAGCGUAAUAGCUCACUGGUCAAAUGGAACCGCGCCGAAAAUUCAACGGGGCUAAAGCACUAUACCGAAGCUACGGAAGCAUAGCAAUAUGCUUGGUAGGGGAGCAUUCUGUAUACCUGUGAAGGGAGAUUGUGAGGUCUCUUGGAGGAAUCAGAAGAGAAUAUGUCGGCAUAAGUAGCGUAAAGACUGAUGCGAAGUCAGUCCGCCGUAAACCUAAGGUUUCCUGGGGAAGGUAAAUCCGCUCAGGGUUAGUCGGGCCUAAGAUGAGGCCGCGAGGCGUAAUCGAUGGACAGCAGGUUAAUAUUCCUGCACUGUUUUGUAGUCGUUGAUACUAGGGGGGACGCAGAGAGGUAGUCUGAGCCUGGUGAUGGUUCAGGUCUAAGCGUCGAAGUUUGUGGGUAGGCAAAUCCGCCCACUUUAAGACAGAUGCGCGAUGGGGAAGCGAGUAUUCGUGAACUCAGAUGAUCCUGCACUGACAAGAAAAACCUCGAGAGGAGACUAUGGGACAUCCGUACCGCAGACCGACACAGGUAGGUGGGUAGAAGAUACCUAGGCGUACGAGAGAAACCUCGCUAAGGAACUCGGCAAAAUAACCCCGUAACUUCGGGAGAAGGGGUCCCUGUGUAAUGCAGGGCGCAGAUAAAUGGCCCAGGCGACUGUUUAUCAAAAACACAGGUGCCUGCAAACUCGUAAGAGGAAGUAUAGGCACUGACGCCUGCCCGGUGCCGGAAGGUUAAUGGGAGGUGUUAUUCGCAAGGAGAAGCACUGAACUGAAGCCCCGGUAAACGGCGGCCGUAACUAUAACGGUCCUAAGGUAGCGAAAUUCCUUGUCGGGUAAGUUCCGACCUGCACGAAUGGCGUAACGAUUUGGGCACUGUCUCGGCGAGGUGCUCGGCGAACUUAAGUUACCGGUGAAGACGCCGGUUACCCGCAGCUAGACGGAAAGACCCUGUGCACCUUUACUGCAGCUUGGCAUUGAGUUUUGGUGUAGUACGUGUAGGAUAGGUGGGAGGCGAUGAAGGAGAGACGCUAGUUUCUCUGGAGCCAACCUUGAAAUACCACCCUUAGUAUACUGGAGCUCUAACUUACACCUGUAAUCCAGGUGAAGGACAUUGUCUGGCGGGCAGUUUGACUGGGGCGGUCGCCUCCUAAAGAGUAACGGAGGCGUCCAAAGGUUCCCUCAGGCUGGACGGAAAUCAGCCGUAGAGCGCAAAGGCAAAAGGGAGCUUAACUGCGAGAGAGACAUCUCGAGCAGAUACGAAAGUAGGGCUUAGUGAUCCGGUGACUCUGAGUGGAAGGGUCAUCGCUCAACGGAUAAAAGGUACGCCGGGGAUAACAGGCUUAUCGCGUCCAAGAGUUCACAUUGACGACGCGGUUUGGCACCUCGAUGUCGACUCAUCGCAUCCUGGGGCUGAAGCAGGUCCCAAGGGUUCGGCUGUUCGCCGAUUAAAGCGGUACGAGAGUUGGGUUCAGAACGUCGUGAGACAGUUCGGUCCCUAUCUGCUGUGGGCGAAGGAGACUUGAGAGGCGCUGUCCUUAGUACGAGAGGACCGGGAUGGACGAACCUCUAGUGUUCCAGUUGUCAUGCCAGUGGCAAUGCUGGGUAGCUAUGUUCGGAUGAGAUAACCGCUGAAAGCAUCUAAGUGGGAAACUCACCUCAAGAUUAGGUCUCCCGGGUAGUAAUACCCCUAAAGGUCCGUGGUAGACCACCACGUUGAUAGGCUGAAGGUGUAAGUGUGGUAACACAUUGAGCUGAUCAGUACUAAUAGACCGUGUGCCUUGACCCU